GACGAACGCUGGCGGCGUGCCUAACACAUGCAAGUCGAACGGGACUGAUUGGAAAGCGGCUUCGGCCAAUGGAAGAUCAGUUUAGUGGCGAACGGGUGAGUAACGCGUGAGCAAUCUGCCUUUCAGAGGGGGAUAACAUUGGGAAACCGGUGCUAAUACCGCAUGAUGUGCGAGGGUCGCAUGACUCUUGUACCAAAGGAGCAAUCCGCUGAAAGAUGAGCUCGCGUCUGAUUAGCUAGUUGGCGGGGUAACGGCCCACCAAGGCGACGAUCAGUAGCCGGUCUGAGAGGAUGAACGGCCACAUUGGGACUGAGAUACGGCCCAGACUCCUACGGGAGGCAGCAGUGGGGAAUAUUGGGCAAUGGGGGAAACCCUGACCCAGCAACGCCGCGUGAAGGAAGAAGGCCUCGGGUGUAACUUCUUUAGUCAGGACGAAGAACGU
rnacentral:rRNA from 1 species